AGUGAACGCUGGCGGUAGGCCUAACACAUGCAAGUCGAACGGCAGCACAGUAAGAGCUUGCUCUUACGGGUGGCGAGUGGCGGACGGGUGAGGAAUACAUCGGAAUCUACUUUUUCGUGGGGGAUAACGUAGGGAAACUUACGCUAAUACCGCAUACGACCUACGGGUGAAAGAAGGGGAUCUUCGGACCUUGCGCGAUUGAAUGAGCCGAUGUCGGAUUAGCUAGUUGGCGGGGUAAAGGCCCACCAAGGCGACGAUCCGUAGCUGGUCUGAGAGGAUGAGGAGCCAAACUGGGACUGAGAAACGGGCCAGACGCCGACGGGAGGGAGCAGUGGGGAAUUUUGGACAAUGGGCGCAAGCCUGAUCCAGCCAUGACGGGUGGGUGAAGAAGGCCUUUGGGUUGUAAAACACUUUUGUGAGGAAAAAAAAACAAGGAGCUAAAACCGCCGGGGGAUGACGGUACCCAAAGAAUAAGCAACGGGUAACUUCGGG
rnacentral:rRNA from 1 species